rnacentral:rRNA from 1 species
UAACUUUUAACAAUGGAUCUCUUGGCUCUCACAUCGAUGAAGAACACAGGGAAAUGUGAUAAGUAAUGUGAAUUGCAGAAUUCAGUGAAUCAUUGAAUCUUUGAACGCACCUUGCACCUUUUGGUAUUCCAAAAGGUACACCUGUUUGAGUGUCAUGA